UACGGGGGGGGCAAGCGUUGUUCGGAAUUACUGGGCGUAAAGGGUUCGUAGGUGGCUUGCUAAGUCAGACGUGAAAUCCCUCAGCUUAACUGGGGAACUGCGUCUGAUACUGGCGAGCUUGAGUGCAGGAGAGGAACGCGGAAUUCCAGGUGUAGCGGUGAAAUACGUAGAUAUUGGGAAGAACACCAGUGGCGAAGGCGGCUAACUGGUCCAGUACUGACGCUGAGGUGCGAAAGCAUGGGGAGCGAACAGG
rnacentral:rRNA from 1 species